AGGACACAGAGACCAGAUGGCCCUGCUUGAGCAGCACUAGCUUUGUUUCCUGGGGCCUUUAACUGUUGCAUGAAAAUUUCAGAUGAAAUUUCCAAAGGAAUUCUCAGAAGAGUGGAGAGAUUUGAAAUCCAGAAAGCUGGUGGCCUGUGUCACCUAGAGGCUGUUAUUCUCCACAUGAAAGGCAGAAAGUUCUGUGUGAAUCCAUGGAAUAAAAAAGUCAAAAAAAUGAUGAAGAAGAUGAAGCACAAGAUUCACAGGAGCAAAUUUCAUGUUAGAAAGCAGAGAAGAACCAGAAUUACCAAACAGAAAGAACAGAAGCAGUAGCAAAAUUAAGCAAGAUGAAGCAAAAUGACCCAUGAUGAAGAUUCUGUGGCAUAUGGCACUGCGGGCAAGGAUACUAGAUUUCACUAGUGAUGGAUGAUUGUAGCAUUAAAAUGACUUUUCAAAUCUCUAUGUGCUAGAAAAAGCAGAGGCAGAAAUCACCUGUGCUCAGAACAAUGCUGGUCAGACUAUCAGACAAAUGACAAAGUGUUCCUUGUAAUGUCUUGUAGCAAGUGUUCGUGGUACCUCCUAGAUCUUUUGUCAGACUUAAAUCUUUCUCUCUCUCACUCUACUUUUAUGGCAACCUCCCCUGUGACUUCUGUUUUAACAUGCUGUUCUUUCUCAUUCCUCCAUUUUUUCCCAGUCCUAUACUUGGUCUCUAUUCUUCCCUGUCUGAAAUCAUCUUUCUGCUGUUGUCUGUUUUGUUUAUAUUCUUCCAAUCAUAAUAUUUCUUUUUUUCUUAAUUUUGCAUAGUUUUACAAACACUUUUUCAGAUACUUCCAGCUUGCUUGCCAAAACCACAUAUUUUACCUGUUUUAAACAAUCUCUACUCCCAGCUGUUACUAUCAUGAAAUGUUAUUUUGGUGGUAAUAUCUCAUCCUUUUCACAGGACUCAAAGUGUGGCACUUAAAGCUAUGCAAUAUGCAAUAAAGAUCAUCUCUAUUGCUUUUGUUCAUUCAAUUUUGUUCAUUCAAAUACUCAGAUCUUUCAGAUAGGUCCUUCCUACUCUCUUCGCUGAAUUUCUCAUAAUCAAGACUGAGGAAUACAUCUAUCCCUCAAAGGCUUUUCCCAAAGACUAGCAAUGAUGACAGUCUGUCCACUCCAUAGCCUCCCUUCCACUGUACAGUACUGCUUCUCCUGUGUGGCACAGUCUGUAUUCCCUCCCUCCUUCCUUGGAAGCUUCAAAGUAAUUUAGUAUUUCCCCAAAGACAUCUCAUCAAUAGCACUUCUCCUCACAGACACGUAUACAGAAAGCAGCAAAUGAGGGAGAAGAGAGGUCUUUAAAAGAGUAAGUGCCAUAGAGUGCACACAUCUCACAAGCCAAAAAUACUUAAUAUAGCAGCACAACUCCGCUCUUUCUUCUCUUCCCCUAGCAAUUACUGUUUUUUUUUUCAAUCACUGCAUUUGACUUAAAUGAGGUCCUCUGAGUUGCCUCUAGUGUUUGCUUUGAAAUUUUUAUGUAAAACUACAUCCUGCAAGCAUGGCAAAAAGCAAGGCUGAUGAUAUGGGAUAGAAACAGCUGCUGGUAGAUUCCCCAGAUAAGAAAGAAGACGAAUAACCGCAGCAAGGUCACUAGAGAUAAACAGCAUACUCGUACAGAUGCAAAUCUGAAGAAAGAAACCUGACUGCCUCCAAAACAGAUAAGAGAAACAAUUACUGCUUUUAUGAGCCAACUGCCUUCUGACAGGGAUGAGGCAACUGAUAUAAUUCUUCUUCCAGAAUGUAGGGAAUAUUUUGUACAGCAUGUACACUGGCAUAGCUCCAUCCUCUGGCUGCUGGAAUAGCAGGAAGCCUACUGCUGGGAGCGGGAGCUGGGGCUGCUCUCUCUGACUCCAAGCCUGCACAGAAGCUCUUCCUCCCAAUGCUGUGCUUCGAAAACAGCUGAGGCAGAGGAUGUGACCUUGGCUAAUGCAAGCUGAAAUGGCAGACGCUUUCCACCAUUUCAUUUGCACUGCCUGGAGACUACAUGGAUAAUUAGCUAAUGGGUAUCACACAAAAUCCAAACCCUCUGGGCUCCAGGUCAGCAGAGCACCAGGAAUGCAAAACUGCUGAAGCACUUUACAAUAUGGCAUCAGCAUAUUACUCUUUCUGGCAGUUCCAUUUUCUUCCUCAUGUUCUACUCUCCAUUUCAGAUUUUGAACCUUCUUGCUUCCUUCAGAUUUCUAGGUGGAUUUAUGAUGGCAUCUCAGCUCCUCAGAGCAAUACCAUUAAUGCAACCAGUGACCUUUUAGAGUAUAAACAUACUGACUAAAGCAUGGACUAAUUUCCUUGGCUGUGCUAUGGGAGAGACCAUUUCACAGGAUUAGAGUAUGGCACAACCUUCCCAAGCUGAGGGAAGGAGAAGGGGCUAAUGCUGCUUUAGGUACAGGCUGCUGGGAAGCUCCAUGCAGGCUUGCAGAUCUGUCCUCUGACAGUUGUAGGAUCACAGCACAGCUGCAGUUUUCUCUCCCAUUUGGAAAGCAGUACAGAUACUACUAACAAGUUUUUGUACUGUCAGCGUUCUGGCCUCUAAAUCUUUGAUUCUUAUUAAUUUAGCAAUUCCUUCUUUGUAUUGAAAUUGACGACCCAACCAAAUAUGCAACACAAAUGUAAUUUAAAUAUAUGCAUUUACUGGACCUACUUUAAAGAAAGGCUCUAAUAUUUUUGUUUACAUCUUCCUGUUCUCCAGUGUGAUGUCUUCUAUUAGGUUCUCCUGGAAUCAAUAGAUCAAACUGAGAUAUUAUGAGAUUACAAAGUCCACUCCCUGCUUCCAGCUGCAUUUCAAGUUUUGGUUCUUGUGCAUUCCUUUGAGAACUGAAUUAGCAAUAACUUGUACCUGUUAUUCAAUCUUAAUAAAAACUUUCUUCCCUGAUAUUGGUAUAAGAAGUACCAAAACAACACUUGAAAGAUCCACUGCCUCAUACAGUUUCAUUUAUCUCUGAACGCUGACACACAAAUAUGUAGAAGAAAAAUCUUCCAGUUCUCAAAUCUUCACUUGAGUGAUCUCAUAUUCUCUGUACCUGAGCAUUAUUUUUGACCUUUGCUAUUUUGUACUUGGCAACAAAAGAAAAUCAAUGCCUUUUUCGUUGAAGUCAUCCCAACAUCUUGUUUUGUGGAAGAGAUUAUUAGGGCACAUGACUUUGUUUUCCCCGAAAAUGCUGAAUAAAGGUCUCUUUUCAAUAGGUUUAGGUGCCUAAAGAUGCAUAGUUGGAUGCAUUUGAAAACACCAGUUAGUAUUUUAGUGGCUUAGAAAUGUACCUUCCAUAGAAUUAAGUCCAAAUUAGACUUGUAAUUAAUAUUCUUGAGAAUUGCAAUAAAAUCUCUCUUACGUACUUUUAAGAAACAGCUUAACAGAUUAUUAUCAACCACCUUUUAAAUUUAUUUUAAGAGCUAUUAGCUUAAUGUGACAGCCUCUAAGUCUUUAGGAUGCUUUAAAGAAAUAACAGAUGGCAUUGCUUAAGAACUGCUAAACAAAAACAAAGAACGUGUUGGGUCUAUUAAAGCAAAACCAGCACCCUGAAUUUGA
ensembl:lncRNA